rnacentral:rRNA from 1 species
AGCGGCGGAUGGGUGAGUAACACGUGGGGAACCUGCCCCUAAGUCUGGGAUACCAUUUGGAAACAGGUGCUAAUACCGGAUAAUAAAGCAGAUCGCAUGAUCAGCUUUUGAAAGGCGGCGUAAGCUGUCGCUAAGGGAUGGCCCCGCGGUGCAUUAGCUAGUUGGUAAGGUAACGGCUUACCAAGGCGACGAUGCAUAGCCGAGUUGAGAGACUGAUCGGCCACAUUGGGACUGAGACACGGCCCAAACUCCUACGGGAGGCAGCAGUAGGGAAUCUUCCACAAUGGACGCAAGUCUGAUGGAGCAACGCCGCGUGAGUGAAGAAGGUUUUCGGAUCGUAAAGCUCUGUUGUUGGUGAAGAAGGAUAGAGGUAGUAACUGGCCUUUAUUUGACGGUAAUCAACCAGAAAGUCACGGCUAACUACGUGCCAGCAGCCGCGGUAAUACGUAGGUGGCAAGCGUUGUCCGGAUUUAUUGGGCGUAAAGCGAGCGCAGGCGGAAAAAUAAGUCUAAUGUGACAGCCCUCGGCUUAACCGAGGAACUGCAUCGGAAACUGUUUUUCUUGAGUGCAGAAGAGGAGAGUGGAACUCCAUGUGUAGCGGUGGAAUGCGUAGAUAUAUGGAAGAACACCAGUGGCGAAGGCAGCUCUCUGGUCUGCAACUGACGCUGAGGCUCGAAAGCAUGGGUAGCGAACAGGAUUAGAUACCCUGGUAGUCCAUGCCGUAAACGAUGAGUGCUAAGUGU